rnacentral:rRNA from 1 species
UAGGGAAUCUUCCACAAUGGACGAAAGUCUGAUGGAGCAACGCCGCGUGAGUGAAGAAGGGUUUCGGCUCGUAAAACUCUGUUGUUAAAGAAGAACAUAUCUGAGAGUAACUGUUCAGGUAUUGACGGUAUUUAACCAGAAAGCCACGGCUAACUACGUGCUAG